CAGUCAAAGGGGGUUUGUUCUCUGUUGGGCAGGAGUGGGGGUCACAAGGUGCUCAGUGGGGGAUCUUUUUGAGCCAGGAUGAGCCAGGAAAAGGACUUUCACAAGGUAAUGUCACCACGUAAGGCAAGGACCGGCCAUUUUCACUUCUUUUGUGUUAGAAUGUCAUCAGUUAAGGCAAGGACCGGCCAUUUACACUUCUUUUGUGUUAGAAUGUCAUCAGUUAAGUCAGGGCAAGGCAUUUUCACUUCUUUUGUGAUUCUUCAGUUACUUCAGGCCAUCUAGGCGUAUAUGUUCAAGUCACAGGGGAUGCAAUGUCUUAGCUUGGGCUCAGAG
rnacentral:lncRNA from 10 species